GUGGCUGCCCAGAAGACUAGGAAAUCAGGUUCAGCCCCUAAGGGCGAGGCCAGAGAUGUCCGUGCGGUGAUGUCAUCGCUGCGGUGGUGCUUCGGGGGCUUCCAGACCCUCUCCUGGAUUUGGUGAUGGUCACACCACAGCCGUGGUGUAGCUGAGCCUCUACUACAGCUACAACCUCCCUCUGGAGAGAACCUAGUGUCCUAUAUGGGGAAGCAAAGCAGCAGCUCACAACUCCGACCUACAACUCCCGAUGAAGGCACAACGACGCACCAUGCUGCUCCUUUGGAAG